rnacentral:rRNA from 1 species
AGUGAACGCUGGCGGUAGGCCUAACACAUGCAAGUCGAACGGCAGCACAGUAAGAGCUUGCUCUUACGGGUGGCGAGUGGCGGACGGGUGAGGAAUACAUCGGAAUCUACUUUUUCGUGGGGGAUAACGUAGGGAAACUUACGCUAAUACCGCAUACGACCUACGGGUGAAAGCAGGGGAUCUUCGGACCUUGCGCGAUUGAAUGAGCCGAUGUCGGAUUAGCUAGUUGGCGGGGUAAAGGCCCACCAAGGCGCCGAUCCGUAGCUGGUCUGAGAGGAUGGUCAGCCACACUGGAGCUGAGACACGGUCCAGACUCCUACGGGAGGCAGCAGUGGGGAAUAUUGGACAAUGGGCACAAGCCUGAUCCAGCCAUACCGCGUGGGUGAAGAAGGCCUUCGGGUUGUAAAGCCCUUUUGUUGGGAAAGAAAAGCAGCAGGUUAAUACCCCGCUGUUCUGACGGUACCCAAAGAAUAAGCACCGGCUAACUUCGUG